GGGAGAGUGAAUUCUGCCUCCGGGCUGCUGGGGCAUGAAACCAGAGGCAGUCAAGCCAAAAUUUGGGUUGAGUUCUGAGUCAGGGAACCUGAGAGCCAGAACCACAGAGCUUGAAAGAAUGAGGAAAUGGCCUGGCUGUGAUUUGCUGCCUUGACCAACACGGCUUCUUGGAGAACUGCCAAGUACCUAUUUUGGAUCUGCCUGAACAUCCUCACCAGAUCCUGAAAGGUGGGCUUGUAACCAUCCUAGCAGGAAUGAAGACAUCCAAAGAGACACUUGUGUGCUUCAGCAGUCAAACGAUUGGGACAAGGGAACCCAUGAAAUUGGAACCUUUCCAGGAGUCUCAUUCUGGUAUAGGGAAAGGCUGGGUCCAGGCAGAAAACUUGUCUCCCAGGAAGAUUUCACAUAGCUCUGACCAACUUACCAGACUACCUUUGAAGAGAGGCUGGAGUCCAGACAAUGAUUGUGAGCAAGACCUCACCUUAACCAUGACUGCUUAGUUAA
rnacentral:lncRNA from 1 species